rnacentral:rRNA from 1 species
UACAGAGGGGGCAAGCGUUAUUCGGAAUUAUUGGGCGUAAAGGGCGCGUAGGCGGCCUGACAAGUGGAAGGUGAAAUCCCUCGGCUUAACCGAGGAACUGCCCUCCAAACUGUCUGGCUUGAGACCGGGAGAGGUGAGUGGAAUUCCCAGUGUAGCGGUGAAAUGCGUAGAUAUUGGGAGGAACACCAGUGGCGAAGGCGGCUCACUGGACAAUUGCUGACGCUCAGGCACGAAAGCGUGGGGAGCAAAAGGG